rnacentral:rRNA from 1 species
UUAAACUGAAGAGUUUGAUCAUGGCUCAGAUUGAACGCUGGCGGCAGGCUUAACACAUGCAAGUCGAGCGGAGUUGUGGUGCUUGCACCAUAACUU